ensembl:lncRNA
CCUGGCGGAGCAGUGGUUGGGGCAGGUGGAGAGGAGGUGGCAGAACAGAUAGCUGAGCCACACAGGAGUCCCCACAAGGGAAAUAUGGAGGCAGGUGACUAGGAAAUGAGGAAGCUACUAACAGGGAAGAAAUGAUAUGAAACAGCCCUACUGCAAAUUCUCAGAGCCUGGCUUUGCUGAUGAAGUUAAAGAAGGUAGAAGAAGCCCAUGAGGAUACAUUGAAGGAGACAACAUUAAGGAUCAUUUGGAUUUUGUGGGGUAAUACAAGUGCCUAUGAGGAAAGCUACACAGUGAUAAAGAGGGAGCCAGAAAUGUAUGAAAAGAAGAUGGAAUCAGCAGUAUGUGUCAAGACAACUAAAUUGGUGCUAUGGGAUCGAACUCGGGACCUUGCACUUGCAAGGCAGGCAGCAGAACCACUGAGCUAAAUCCCCGGCCCUGACAUUCUGAUUCUUAUUUGCUCUUAACUUUCUAUUAUUUCAGUCUUUCCCUUGCUCUUCAUAUGUGAUGCAGUUUUUUCUUCCUUUCCACUAUGAUUUUUUACUCUUCUUGACAAAUUUGACCCAUGAACUCUCUUGCCAGUCCCCCUCGAUCAGCAUUUGGUAUUAAAGCA